rnacentral:rRNA from 1 species
UGGGGAAUAUUGCACAAUGGGGGAAACCCUGAUGCAGCGACGCCGCGUGAGCGAAGAAGGUUUUCGAAUCGUAAAGCUCUGUCCUAUGAGAAGAUAAUGACGGUAUCAUAGGAGGAAGCCCCGGCUAAAUACGUGCCAGCAGCCGCGGUAAUACGUAUGGGGCGAGCGUUGUCCGGAAUUAUUGGGCGUAAAGGGUACGUAGGCGGUCUAUUAAGUCAGGUGUGAAAGCGUGAGGCUUAACCUCAUUAAGCACUUGAAACUGAUAGACUUGAGUGCAGGAGAGAAAAGUGGAAUUCCUAGUGUAGCGGUGAAAUGCGUAGAGAUUAGGAGGAACACCGGUGGCGAAAGCGGCUUUUUGGCCUGCAACUGACACUGAGGCGCGAAAGCGUGGGGAGCAAACAGG